rnacentral:misc_RNA from 1 species
GAUGAAGAAACGUAGCGAAAUGCGAUAAGUAAUGUGAAUUGCAGAAUUCAGUGAAUCAUCGAAUCUUUGAACGCACAUUGCGCCCCUUGGUAUUCCGAGGGGCAUGCCUGUUCGAGCGUCAUUAUCACCCUUCAAGCUCUGCUUGGUGUUGGGGCCUGCUGUUACAGGCAGCCCUUAAAAUCAGUGGCAGUGGUCAUUAGGCUCUAAGCGUAGUAAUUCUUCUCGCUAUAGCGUCUAGUGGUUGCGCGCCAAAACCCCCAACUUUUUAUGAUUGACCUCGGAUCAGGUAGGGAUACCCGCUGAACUUAAGCAUAUCAAUAAGCGGAGGA